rnacentral:rRNA from 1 species
UACGAAGGGGGCUAGCGUUGUUCGGAAUUACUGGGCGUAAAGCGCACGUAGGCUGACACUUAAGUCAGGGGUGAAAUCCCGAGGCUCAACCUCGGAACUGCCUUUGAUACUGGGUGUCUCGAGUCCGGAAGAGGUUAGUGGAAUUCUCAGUGUAGAGGUGAAAUUCGUAGAUAUUGAGAAGAACACCAGUGGCGAAGGCGGCUAACUGGUCCGGUACUGACGCUGAGGUGCGAAAGCGUGGGGAGCAAACAGG